AACAUGGAUGAAAAGUUUCACUUUGUUUUACAGAAAGCUAAACCAUUAAGAGCUAUCCCACAUUCAAUUUGAUCCUGGUUUUAUCUGUUUUCUGUUAUUAUCUCAAGUACUGGAAAUGAAUAAGCUUGGAUCUAUUCUGUAAAACCUCCAAUUGUACAUCAAUAAGAUCCUGAGAAUCGAUUAUAAUGUCUGCUACGGUCUUUUUCUUGGAUAUGAAUAAGCUUGGAUCAAUUUGAUCCUGGUUUUAUCUGUCUGCUGUUAUUAUCUCAAUUACGGGAAAUGAAUAAGCUUGGAUCUAUUCUGUAAAACCUCCAAUUGUACAUCAAUAAGAUCCUGAGAAUCGAUUAUAAUGUCCGCUACGGUCUUUUUCUUGGAUAUGAAUAAGCUUGGAUCAAUUUGAUCCUGGUUUUAUCUGUCUGCUGUUAUUAUCUCAAGUACGGGAAAUGAAUAAGCUUGGAUCUAUUCUGUAAAACCUCCAAUUGUACAUCAAUAAGAUCCUGAGAAUCGAUUAUAA
rnacentral:lncRNA from 1 species